rnacentral:lncRNA from 1 species
AUGGGGGCUGAGGAUGGAACUGGGGGGGAGUCUCACCCUCCCUUCUUCCUGGGCCCUCAGAUCGAGUGUUCCGGUAUCUCUGAUUAUGCAGUGACGAUCGUCAAAGCCAACAAGUUAGACCACGGAGGUGGACAUCUACACUGUCAAGGUGGGAGACCGGACGUUCACCUCCCGCUUCUGCCUGCAGGUGAAGCAGAACGACUAUGUGCACGCCCUGGUGGCCUACUUCAAUAUCCAGUUAUAGAACUGAUAACAGAAGGGCAUCCUGGCCAUUUCACCCAUGGACUUGAACUUGCCCGUGGACUGAGAUCUUCCUCAGAAGCUGCUACAAGAUUGGACCUCAUGUCCCUGCCCUCUUCAUGUACUUUUCCAAGCCUUCCUAUUCUACUCAGGGCUGUGAGGUGAUGGUUGUCCUUCCAAUUUUUGUCAAAAAUAAAUUGUUUAAAAAUUGUCAUAUUAAAAACAUUACAAAGUAUUCAAUUGUCUGUUCUUUCACUCGAGAACUAAAGUUCUAAGUAGAGAAGAUUUGGUUCAGAGAUCUCUGUGGUUUACAAAUUGAAGGAUAUCUAUUUGGAGUACCUACAAGGGCCUAUUGCCUGGAUGUGUAACAUAUUUGAGGAUAUCUAUAAAUAUGAUUCCAGCAACUUGCAUUUUUUUCUCCUAUUGUGCAAUCUGGUUAUUCCAGCUAAUCAUGUGUUGAUGGUCAUGAAGUCUUUCCAGCGAGUUCCAGAGAAAGGUACAGUCUAACUUCACCUGUGUCUAGGAUACCACCGUCUUCUUGCUUUUCUCCUCCUAUUGCUCUUUUUGAGUCUUUUUUGCUGAUUUCUCAUCUACCUAUAGACAGUUGUUUGUCACACACCCAUACACAACUUUUUUUUUUUGAGACAGGGUCUUGUUCUGUUGCCUAGGCUGAAAUACAGUGGUGCUACCAUGACUUACUACAGCCUUGACCUCCUGGGCUCAAGUGAUCCUCCCACAUCAGCCUCUCCAGUAGCUAGGAAUAAAGGCAUGUACUACUACAUCUAGCUAAUUUAAAAAAAAAUUGUAGAAAUGUUGUCUUGUAACCUUUGUUUUCCCAAAGGUUACUGAACUGCUGCCUAAGCCUAUGUACCUUGAUUUUAAGAAGGCCUCUGCUUGAGACUUAGAGAGGUUUAGUGGUAUCUACUAUCAUCC